UCUAAUUCUAUAUGUUCGAAAAAUAGAGUCUCUCCUUCGGUUGAAAAUAAAUUUUUCAGUAUCCAAUGAGGAAU
rnacentral:tRNA from 1 species